CGGACGGGUGAGUAACGCGUGGAAAACCUGCCGUAUACUGGGGGAUAACACUUAGAAAUAGGUGCUAAUACCGCAUAAGCGCACAGCUUCGCAUGAAGCGGUGUGAAAAACUCUGGUGGUAUACGAUGGUUCCGCGUCUGAUUAGCUAGUUAGUGGGGUAAUGGCCUACCAAGGCAACGAUCAGUAGCCGGCCUGAGAGGGUGAACGGCCACAUUGGGACUGAGACACGGCCCAAACUCCUACGGGAGGCAGCAG
rnacentral:rRNA from 1 species